rnacentral:lncRNA from 1 species
GCUUCAGAUAAAACACAUACAUUUCGUUUGGGAUGAAGUCCCUUUUAUUCUAAUUAAAACAUAUACAUAUCCUCCUUUCUGAACCAUAUGGAAUAGAUCUAGUAUUCUUGCUCUUGCCUAGUACCACAUUUCUCAGAGGACUCAGUCCAUGUUUGACUGAGUGCAUUGCUCUGGGCCCAAAGUGAUGAGAACAUUUCAUGUUUCAGAAGUGUCAGUCCAGGGGCAGCCAGCUCCAUUGCUCUGGGUCUGAGGUGAGGGAGGACAUCAUGGCAGAAGGGCAUUUUGAAGGGAAUUCCCUCACCUCAUGGUAGCCACGGAGCAGAGAGAAAGGAGGACCAGGUGACAAAAUAGAAUCUCCAAGGGCAUGCCCCCAGUGACCUACUUCUUCCAACCAGCCAUGCCCCACCUUCCCACAGUUACCACCCAAUACAUUAUUAAUUCACCCUAUGAAUUUAUUUAUCGAUCUGGUCACCAUUCUUGUAGUCUAAUAAUUUAUCCUUUGAACAUUUCUGCAUUAGUUCAUAUAAGCUUUUGAGAUACACCUAAUCUCCACACCAUCACAUGCCACCUCUGGUCCCCAAAAGUCUAUGUACAUCUCACCAUGCAAAAUACAUUUCAGUGCAUUCCAAGAGCCCCCCUAAUAUUAAUAGUUCCAUUGCUGCCCAAAACUUCAAGUUGAAAGACUCCUUUGAGUCUCAAGUCAAACACUUGGUUGUGAGCCCUUGUAAGAAUCAAAAUCAACUUAUGAUUAUCCAAUAUAAAGGGGCAGAGAGUAAAUAUUCCCAUUCCAAAAGGGAGAACUAGGCACAUAGCAAGAAUAGGUGGGACCAAAUCAAGACAAAAUCCCAGCUGGGCUAACAAGUCCUGUAUCACUAUGUCCAGUAUCUGGGGCCCAUGACUGUACAGAAUGGGCUCCAAAGGCUCAGGCAGCCCUGUCCCUUGGCCUCUCACAUAGGCUGGCUCUAUCCUUAGGUAGCAAAAUAUCUUGGCAGGUGUUGCUUAGUACUGGCAACACUUCAUCCCACAGUUCUCUUGCAGCUUCAGCUUCCUUUUCACAGAUGCACACAUGACCCUCUCAGGACCUACGUACAGGGAUUCUCACUUCUUCACACUUUGAAUUGCCAGGCUUUCUUUUGAAAUCUUGGCAGAAGCCAAUAUGUCCACCUAACUCCAGCAUCCUGCUUUCCUGCAGUACCAGCACCCUGUGGUUGAAGCCAAGGUCUGCCACCAUCUCAAGAAGUAGCCAAGCACCUGGGGACCAUGGUUGCUGUAACCUUUGAAUGUCUGUUUGACUGAGCAUGGCAAAACCACGGACCCCUGUGCCAGCAGGGUGCCCCCAUGGUCUCUUUUCAAAGAAAUUUUCACUUCUAUAUCCUUUGAGCCUGAGUUGGGUAUGGUGUUGCCAAUUCCUGGGAUGCCCUCAAGACAUCUCUCCUAUUGUCCCUGAGUAAAUCAUUGACCAUGUCUUUAGUGAUUGUAAUGCUUUAACAGCCACAACUUCCUGAGUCCUAGUUUUACUCAGACUUUUCUGGCCAAAAUGCAAGUUUACCAUCUGCUGUUUGCUCCUCAUUAUUUCGGUUAAUCUGGAUAAAAGAUGCUAGCAAUAUCCAUACCACUGCCUGAAUACUGUACUGCCUUGAAAUUUUUUCCAAUAGAAAAAUUAGUACAUCACCCUAAAUUCAACCACAGACAGUGUCAGGACAUGGGUAAUAUAAUAGACAGUAUCUUUGCCAGAAUGUAACAUGAAUGACCUCUAUUCCCAUUUCCAACAGAGUUCCCCUCCUCUGCAACCUCAUGAGCACAAUCUUUACUAAUUACAGUCUUAUCAAUCAACAUUAUGAUCAUCAGAACUUCACCAGAAUCACACAUUAAGAUCUGCUUACAGAUCCAUCUUGCAUCUCUAAAUUUUUCUAAAAUUCCUACCCCAAAUUCUAAAAGCUUUAGAAGUUCCUGAACCACAGGAUCAGAUUAGU